rnacentral:rRNA from 1 species
UACGUAGGUUGCGAGCGUUAUUCGGAUUUACUGGGCGUAAAAGAGCACCGAGGUGGCUUCUUAAGUUGGAUGUGAAAUCUCCUGGCUUAACCGGGAGGCGCCAUUCAAAAACUGGGGGAGCUUGAGGUCAGCAGGGGGAAGGUGGAAUUCCCCGGUGUAGUGGUGGAAUGCGUAGAGAUCGGGGAGGAACACCAGUGGCGAAAGCGACUUUUCUGGGCUGCACCUGACACUCUAGUGCGAAAGCGUGGGGAGCAACAGG